rnacentral:sRNA from 1 species
UUCUCAGCUAAAAUUUAACAAAAGGGAUGAUGUGCGGUAGCAGGAAAUGUAACUGCAAAUAACUAUGGAAAAAAACAGUUUUCAUGGCAUUCUGCCAAAUUUGUCCACACGUGUCCCAAAAGUAAGAUGGUCUAUUUGAAAGUGGAUUGAAAGAGAUUUCUCAUGUGACAAAGAUAGACGGAACGAUUAUAAGACAAAAUAAGUGCUUUUGUGUCUGACUCGUUUUUUCGUCAGAUUAAUUCCGGAGAAAUAAAAAUGUUCAGAAUUAAAUUCAGAGGUCUUGGACGGACUGCUUAAGAAUAAUGAGAAAAUAAGAAAAUGGUUGACACGAAUCAUAAUUGUUCUCCAAUAAAUAAAAUAUGCAAUCCACUGACACAUAUGGAUCUCUUCUCAGAACAAUGGAACACAGAAAUGCGGUCAAGUUUGGAAAUAUGAGAAAUCUAUUUUGAAGUUCAUUCGUUGCUUUGCGCAUGGAAUCUGGGUUCUGGACUUUUUAGUUAAACGGCAACGCAGGAAGAAAAGCGCUGAUAUUGAAGGAAUAAAAUAUAAAAAUGGUAUCUGCGCGCUAUAUAAAUCAAGCUGCGAAGGAAUUUUUGUGAUUAAUGAAGAUUCGCUGAUGCAAAAAUUUUACAAAAUAAUACCCGAUUGAUGGCUUAAAAUCUAAAGGUCUUCAUAAUGUGCAGUACCCAAGAUGGUUUGGAUUAUAAUAUGUAUUUCCCAGGUUUUCAUAAUAUGCAGUACACAAGAUGGUGUGGAGUAUAUGUAUUUCCAAGAUGUCUGAAGAUUUUCAUGGAAAAAGGCUGUUUACCCCCUGCAACAUUACUAAGCGGUCUUUUUGAAUGGUUAAAUCCUUAUGAAGGCAGUAAUAUUAAGGUAAUACCUGUCAUCUGGCCUUGUGAUUCAGCUGAACUUUUGUGGUAUCAUGCGAAUUGCCAAGAUCGACCAACGCCAUUUCACUGCUGUAGUCAUUUGAACAAAUAAAAACUCAAAGUAUACUGUUUAAUAUAA